UACGAAGGGGGCUAGCGUUGCUCGGAAUCACUGGGCGUAAAGCGCACGUAGGCGGAUUGUUAAGUCAGGGUGAAAUCCUGGAGCUCAACUCCAGAACUGCCUUUGAUACUGGCGAUCUCGAGUCCGGGAGAGGUGAGUGGAACUGCGAGUGUAGAGGUGAAAUUCGUAGAUAUUCGCAAGAACACCAGUGGCGAAGGCGGCUCACUGGCCCGGUACUGACGCUGAGGUGCGAAAGCGUGGGAGCAAACAGGG
rnacentral:rRNA from 1 species